rnacentral:lncRNA from 1 species
UCGUCGAGCUGAAUACGUCUCCCUCGGCUGUUCCUUCCUUCCAACAACUUCCCUAUCAACCCAUCUAAUCCUUCCAUAACCUCCUGAUUACAAUCUUGAUUUUCUCUACAAUUUACCACUCAAAUCAUUCUCUCCCCCAACUCAAGAAACAUUCUAUCCAACCGCAGAAUUUAGAAAAGAGAAACAAAUUUCUGGGUUGAGCAAGAAAAAGGAGAGAAUGAGAGAGGGGAUAAAGAAUGGCUGGGAAUCACAGAUAUAUUUGGGAUGCAGGUUGUUUGAGUAUAAAUUGGUUGGUGAAUGGUGAUGCUUAGCUUUACCAUUUGCCAACUCAUACCACAAUUCUCCUCCGGCUUACAUGCCUACUUCCACCCAUAUGCCUUCACUUUCCUCUUCUACUAUUUUCCAUUAUGCAUAAUACAUAUAUACAUAUACAUAUAUUAACUAUGAUCAACAACCAUUAGCUAUUCUUUUUUGAUUUUAUCACUCAUUAGUAGAAGCACAAGCGCCCAUUGACAACACUAUUAUACCCACAUCUAAUAUUUCAUUUCUAUUAGUCAUUUUACAAGAUUAUUGAAUUAUUAAAUACAAGUCAUAUAUUGUAAG